UUGGAGCCUGACAUUGAUAAGGCUGGUGGGGAGAGCUAUAAUGAUCUGGAGGAGAGGGGAGUGGCAAGUGGAAAGGGAGUCCUCUCUUGGUGUGAAUGUUUGCAAAUGUGAGCAGUGACUUAUAGAAAGCCUCUGACUCCAGAGAACCAGAGCUUGGAUUGGCAACAGGAGACAUGAUUCCAGCAGUGAGGAUGACGAUGCUCCAGGUAGAUGGGCACCCUGGAGAAGGGACAUCAUGGAAGUGGCUUCUCAGGAACAGUCCACCCAGGCCUGCAGCUUUGGAGACCAGGGAAAGAAGAGGGGAAUGAAAUUUUUAAAAAUGUGUUAUGUUUAAAAGUUAAUGACAGAAAAAAAAAGUGAUAAUAUCUAUGGCCUUUGA